ACGGGAGGCAGCAGUGAGGAAUAUUGGUCAAUGGAGGCAACUCUGAACCAGCCAUCUCGCGUGAAGGAAUACGGCCCUACGGGUCUUAAACUUCUUUUAUAGGGGGAUAAAGUGAGAUACGCGUAUCUUUUUGUAGGUACCCUAUGAAUAAGCAUCGGCUAACUCCGUGCCAGCAGCCGCGGUAAUACGGAGGAUGCGAGCGUUAUCCGGAUUUAUUAGGUUUAAAGGGUGCGCAGGCGGGACAUUAAGUCGGUGGUGAAAUACCGUGGCCCAACCACGGGGCUGCCAUCGAUACUGAUGACCUUGAGUGCGUGUGACGUAGGCGGAAUGUGGAGUGUAGCGGUGAAAUGCUUAGAUAUUCCACAGAACACCGAUUGCGAAGGCAGCCUACGAAUGCGUAACUGACGCUCAUGCACGAAAGCGCGGGUAGCGAACAGGAUUAGAUACCCUGGUA
rnacentral:rRNA from 1 species